AAGCAUAUUGACAAUCAUCCUUCGGUGUCAUUGGCUACAAUUCCUCCCGUUAAGUCCCUUCUAGGACCUCUCCCGUCUGAUAUUCCUCCAAUUUUGAAAAAUAAGGGUAAAAUUUUUGAUAAUCAUCAUUUGGCUUCAUUGGCUCCACCUCCUCCCGUUAAGUCCCUUCUAGGACCUCCCCCUUCUAAUGGUUCUCCAAUCUUGGAAAAUCAGGGUAGAAUUUCUGAAACUCCA
rnacentral:lncRNA from 1 species